UGGGUGUCAAUACUCGCAGGAGCUGGG
rnacentral:piRNA from 1 species